AUGUUGGUGGUGAUGAUGAUGAUGUAUGGCGGUUGUCUACUCCUUACGCAGAGUUUGACCAACUCCUGUACCUACACCUUAGCACCAUCAAUGGCAUCUGAUGUGGCUUUUUAAACUAGACAAUGUUCU